AUUUAACUGACGAGUCUGAAAUAGGACGAAACGUAUAUCCUAGAU
rnacentral:hammerhead_ribozyme from 1 species